AUGAACGCUAGCUACAGGCUUAACACAUGCAAGUCGAGGGGCAGCAUGGUCUUAGCUUGCUAAGGCCGAUGGCGACCGGCGCACGGGUGAGUAACACGUAUCCAACCUGCCGUCUACUCUUGGACAGCCUUCUGAAAGGAAGAUUAAUACAAGAUGGCAUCAUGAGUCCGCAUGUUCACAUGAUUAAAGGUAUUCCGGUAGACGAUGGGGAUGCGUUCCAUUAGAUAGUAGGCGGGGUAACGGCCCACCUAGUCUUCGAUGGAUAGGGGUUCUGAGAGGAAGGUCCCCCACAUUGGAACUGAGACACGGUCCAAACUCCUACGGGAGGCAGCAGUGAGGAAUAUUGGUCAAUGGGCGAGAGCCUGAACCAGCCAAGUAGCGUGAAGGAUGACUGCCCUAUGGGUUGUAAACUUCUUUUAUAAAGGAAUAAAGUCGGGUAUGGAUACCCGUUUGCAUGUACUUUAUGAAUAAGGAUCGGCUAACUCCGUGCCAGCAGCCGCGGUAAUACGGAGGAUCCGAGCGUUAUCCGGAUUUAUUGGGUUUAAAGGGAGCGUAGAUGGAUGUUUAAGUCAGUUGUGAAAGUUUGCGGCUCAACCGUAAAAUUGCAGUUGAUACUGGAUAUCUUGAGUGCAGUUGAGGCAGGCGGAAUUCGUGGUGUAGCGGUGAAAUGCUUAGAUAUCACGAAGAACUCCGAUUGCGAAGGCAGCCUGCUAAGCUGCAACUGACAUUGAGGCUCGAAAGUGUGGGUAUCAAACAGGAUUAGAUACCCUGGUAGUCCACACGGUAAACGAUGAAUACUCGCUGUUUGCGAUAUACUGCAAGCGGCCAAGCGAAAGCGUUAAGUAUUCCACCUGGGGAGUACGCCGGCAACGGUGAAACUCAAAGGAAUUGACGGGGGCCCGCACAAGCGGAGGAACAUGUGGUUUAAUUCGAUGAUACGCGAGGAACCUUACCCGGGCUUAAAUUGCAGAUGAAUUACGGUGAAAGCCGUAAGCCGCAAGGCAUCUGUGAAGGUGCUGCAUGGUUGUCGUCAGCUCGUGCCGUGAGGUGUCGGCUUAAGUGCCAUAACGAGCGCAACCCUUGUUGUCAGUUACUAACAGGUUCCGCUGAGGACUCUGACAAGACUGCCAUCGUAAGAUGUGAGGAAGGUGGGGAUGACGUCAAAUCAGCACGGCCCUUACGUCCGGGGCUACACACGUGUUACAAUGGGGGGUACAGAGGGCCGCUACCACGCGAGUGGAUGCCAAUCCCCAAAACCUCUCUCAGUUCGGACUGGAGUCUGCAACCCGACUCCGCGAAGCUGGAUUCGCUAGUAAUCGCGCAUCAGCCACGGCGCGGUGAAUACGUUCCCGGGCCUUGUACACACCGCCCGUCAAGCCAUGGGAGCCGGGGGUACCUGAAGUGCGUAACCGCGAGGAGCGCCCUAGGGUAAAACUGGUGACUGGGGCU
rnacentral:rRNA from 1 species